rnacentral:rRNA from 1 species
GACAGAGGGUGCAAACGUUGUUCGGAAUUACUGGGCAUAAAGCGCACGUAGGUGGUCCGCUAAGUCGCGUGUGAAAUCCCCCGGCUCAACCGGGGAAUUGCGCCUGAUACUGGCGGGCUAGAGGUCGAUAGGGGUGAGCGGAACUCCAGGUGGAGCGGUGAAAUGCGUAGAUAUCUGGAGGAACACCGGUGGCGAAAGCGGCUCACUGGAUCGAAACUGACGCUGAGGUGCGAAAGCUAGGGUAGCAAACGGG